AUGGAUCCGCCGCCGCAUAUGCAACCCAACUACAAGGGUGUCAAGGUCGGCGAGACCAGUGAUGGAAAGCUGUGUGUCGCCUGGGCAACUGAUCUCCUGCUCAAAGUUUGGGUCCGGAGAGCCACCGCAGGGGGUGUCGACAAUUGGAUGCCGGACACAGACAAAUCGAUGCUGGAUGAGAUCCGUGAAUUGGAGGUACCAUGUUUAGAUGAAGACCCUGUACUGGAGGUUAAGGCAAUCAUGGGUGGCAUCGUGUAUUUGUCUACCUACGAGGCAUCGAAUCCUACUAGUUCUUGCUGGUUGCUAUCCUUCUGCACUGAAACAGAGAAGCUGAACAAGGUCUGCCCUAUCACCAACUCUGAUUUUUCCUAUCCCUAUUUGAUGGCGUGGCCUCCUCUUCUUUAUGCAACAAGGUGA
rnacentral:rRNA from 1 species